UCCCUCUCGUGGCGGCGGAUCCCGAUCACUCUCCUGUGGCGACGUACGGCGAAUUGCCAGAUGCGCCGCCGCGGCCGCGUGACCACAUCGGAGAAAGCGCUAUGAGAGGCCUGUCAUGUUUACCUUUUCCCAGGCGAUUCGGCCUUCUUCCUCGACGGCCGCUACUAGCCCAGCGCCAAAGCGCCCCUUCCGUUUCAGUCGCUGUGUACCGUCCGACUUGAAACCGACGGCGGCGCCGUAAUGACGGCGAUGAAGUUCGACGGUCUUCUUCUCGUAACCGUAGGUGCCAAAUCCUAUAGCUCCCGGGCAACGACGUGACGAUCGUCUCGCCUGCGUUCGCGACCGACAUGGCUGCGCCGAGACAAGGUGCUUUAGCUUCACAGGCUACCCCAACAACAACAAUGACUUAUUGGUCUUCUUUUCCCACACCCCAACUCAAGUUUAUUAUUGAUUGAUUGAUUCAUUUGUUUAUGCUUAGCUUCACAGGCUACCCCAACAACAACAAUGACUUAUUGGUCUUCUUUUCCCACACCCCAACUCAAGUUUAUUAUUGAUUGAUUGAUUCAUUUGUUUACCGUCAGUGUCCUCUUUGGAUGUUAAUGUGGAUUCUUGUUUCAUUUGGGCUGCUGCAUGAGCGAUGCUCAAUGGGCGAUCUACAAAGGAAUUUCCAGUAACAUGAUUGUGCAUGUGCUGAAGAUUUUGAAUCUUCCCAUCAUGGGAUAAAAAAGGGAGAAAAAUAGAACUUACUGUCUAAUUCUUCUUUGGGCAUACUAUUCUUAUAGAGAUAUUAAAGUGGGGCGAAAGUCUGUAGGUUUGAGGAGGGAGGGAGGAACCUUGCAGCUGCAUGAGGAUGCUUUGAGUCAAUGAGACUUGCUACACCCUCGAGUUUCUUGGCAUGUAUGGGGGCAACCACUACCUGAUUCAAGCCCUCUCUUCUGGAGCUCCCUUAAUCAAUUUACCAGUGAUUUCUCUGGAAAUAUAUUGAAGUCAAACUGAUGAUGAACUCAACAGUAAAUUAGGCAAAAAUGCAGAUAUUUUGCAAGUUCAACUCUGAAUUUGGCUUUUUGCUUAUGUGCCUUCACGUAUGCAUACCUUUGCCAUGUGUUAUUUUCUCAUGCAUAGGUCAGAUGAUUUGAAGAAGUUGGACUUUCUCGCCAUUGGUAUGACAAGGUUGUAUGACAUUUUGUUAAAUUCUAUACAAUUGUGCAGCCCAUGAAUGACAUACUUUGUUUGGUUAUGUAAAUGUUGUUAGACCUUCGUUAAUGUAGUUUCAAAAUUAGGAGUUCACACCAUUUAUUUCUUCCUUCGCCCGCAUCUCCCUCUAUCUCGCAGCAAGAAUCCUAACUGCCCACAUGUUCUCCACCCCCUACUUGAUUCUUAUUUUUUCGUGUGAGCUGUAAUAGCAUAAAAGCCAGCUUCAACAAGGCAAGAACUCAGAUGCGAGGAGGAUACGUGGGAGGAUGAUGCGCUUGAUCUCUUCUGCUCCGUUCAUUUCUACAUGACCGUGAUGGUGCGCCUCCUCCCUACCCUUGUCCUUGGUUUGAAUCGUGUGGAUCCUAACAGCUAAUUCUUAGUUAAUUACACUUUUUUGUGGUUUCCACCAGUCGAUUGUAGCUAUAUUGGAUGGAGUUUACAUUCUCGAUGGAUACAUGAUGUUUCUUUGUUUGUGUGGCUCCAGUCUAUCUAAUAUUUAUUAUUUCUUCUUUAUUUAUAUAGUUAGAUUGAUCUUGACGGGAGCCAAUCCAGGAGGUGAUAUAUACAUCAUUCAUAUUGCUUGUAGCUAACUGUUGGAAAAAAGCGGGAUGCUGAUGGUACAGGAGGAGUUGGUUGUUUAAACUUCUUUUUGACAAAAACUGAGGGGUUAAUAAAUGAUUUCGUCUAUAUCCAGAUUUUUUUUCUCCAUUAAAGUGCUUCACAAUUUACUCAUCUUACAUUCAUUCAAUUUCCGGCUAUCUCUGACAGGUACUUGGAUGCCGUUGCGUUCCAUGUAUCACCAACCAAUGCAUGGCUUACCUAAGUGCAAUCAUCAUCUACCAUUAUGCACAUGAUUUUUGAUAAGCUCAUAAAUGCUACAAUGAUUAAUAAGAGUAAGUUGUGCGUUGGUGUUACACGUUUAGUACAUUGGCACGUAACAUAUUUGUGUUAUUUUGGUUGCACUAAAUCACUUUUAUCUCAUCUUUUGUUCUAUUGCUUGGUUGGAGGCUUUUUGAUAUCUGAAUUAAAACCAACAAAGAAACCAAUUUCUCUUCUUUGACAUCCAACGAUGGAGAAUCUCACAACAGUAGAAGACGCUCUUACCAAAACGACCAAACACUACAAAUGGUAGAAAUUGACUAGGUGUGACAUUAUCCGGAUAUAUAGGUUUUAAAUUUUUUUUGCGAUUCCCAAAGUGAUGAUGUUGUAUUCUAAAACAUUGUUGCCAUAAAGAAGAGUGGGUGGUCGUCAACUCUAGGUUUAAAGAGUAUGAAUAGCACAAUGUGGUCAUAGAACCUGUUUGGAGUUUUAGUAAGGUUAUGGUUGAAGAUGUGUAAACUGGGCAGUGAGACAUUAUUGUGGCAUUGUUCCAUCCUUUUGUGGAGUAUGAUUUAGGUUUUGUGUUCUGUUGUGUAUUGUCUGAUUUUCCACUCUAUGACAAAGUAAUUUAAUUAUAUGU